UCCCACCCCUGUGCAAUCACAACUGCAGGCUGCCGUUGACUGCACCUCUAAGAUUCCCAGCAGUGUAAUUCCUGCCUGAGCAUUUGUUUCUAUAGCAUCUGCCAACAGCAUCCUCUGGGCAGAGGAGAUGCAGAGGAGCUGAUUUGGGGUUAGAACCAAGUGUGGUCGAGGUGCACAUAGUGACUGUGCUGCCCAUGGAGUGUGUUAAAAGUAAACCUGCUCUGCAAAAAAAGCACCACACCACCUGAUGCUUUACCCUUUUGUGAUUACAACAGCUGAUGGUGAAAACAGUGCAACCAAAUUCCUUGCAACAUGGGUGUGCUGGCUGGAUGUGCUUCUCUGACAGAGAGCAAGUGCUGUGUAAAAAUGAAGUGUAAAAGAAACAAGCAGAUUUUCAGCAAGAUCUUUCCUUCUGCUACCAGAUGCUCAUUUCAACCUGCGUCCUACGACGGUUUCUGCCUGACUGCACACGAUCAGUCUGCAGGUGGAAAUGCUGGCUAUGCAGCUUCCGUGGUUACAAAGACAGAAACGAAAGGCUGUAUUUUCAGUUCAGAUCUCCCCCUGACCCCUGUGAUAAGCAUCUCCAGGCCUGCAGAGGAAGCGCCCUUCACAGCUGCUGGGAAGGAGAGGACAAUGAUUUAUCUGUCUGUGCAAAGAGCUCAGUGCAAAGCAGUCUCUCAGGAGCUGGAGCAUCAAUCACAGCUGGCCCCUUUCCACGUGACUGAGUGGCCACAGAGCACCAAGGGGUGCACAGGCUGCCCAGGGGGAGGCGUGUGGGCCAGAAGUGGCAAUAUUUACCCAGCCUUUCUCCAGGCUUUGCCCCACUCCACCCCUGUGGGCUCUGCUGCAGCUCAAGCAGUGACAGCAGUUUUCAAAUGAAAUGUGUUCCUCUACCUCUGUAAGCCCCUGUUCCUGCUUCCUCAAUCAAUCACACACUAAAUAGAUUGAUUUGGCUCUCAGGUUUUCCAUGACCAAGCACUCUUGCCAGCCCUCGCCCAGCAGCACUUAUUUAUCUGUGUAAGCAAGGACAGUGCUGAGCUGCAGCCUUUGCCAGCGAGGCUCACGGUGUGACAGCAGCUGAGUCCUCAGCCCUGAGACGUGGAGGUGAAACUCAGAAAGGAGAACUCUGAUGCACCGUUGAUCAUCCUGCUGUGAAGGGAAAGAGGAAAGGAAUACGGGGUGUGCAUGAGGAAUCCCUACCAUCUGUUUUUUCAGAGGCACUGUGUCCAGAGCUUGGUGCAGGAAGGAAUUUGCUUAUCUAGGGACUGAAGCACUCUGUGGCAUUCUCUGCAUGCAUGCUGCAGAAAACACAACCAGCAGGUUAAUCCCUUAAUGACCACUGCAUCCACAGCCUGCUCUGUGUGGGGUGAAGGAGUGCACAUCUGGCAGGCUGACCCUGGGAAGCAGAGCAGAGCAGGCAGAAUGUGUGCAAGGCUGCAAAAUGCAGCAGGAGCAGCACACUGGGGCUUGAACCCAAAGGCAAUCCCAGCUCAGGUGACAACGCUGCUCAAAGCUGGGGUGUACACAGAAUGAGCCACAGAAUGGCUCAGGAAGGACCUCAAAGAUCACUCACCACCCAUGCCAUGGGCUGGCUGCACCCAACUCAGGCUGCCCAGGGCCCAUCCGUGGCCUGGGGUACUUCCAGGGAUGGGUCACCCACAGCUCUGGGCAGCAGCGCCGGCUCCUCACCGCU